AAAAGGUAAUGAUGUAGAACCUUAAUUAGGGCUUUUGAAAUUUGAAGCCAUUUUUAUUGGGGGCCAGAACCUAAGCCAGGAAAACAACCAAUAACAUUGCAAUAACAAACAUCAGGCAUAAUGAAUGCCCUUAGGAGACACACUCUAAAGUUUUAAAGCUGCACUAUCCCAUUCCUCCAGACAACAAAGAGAAAAAACAAUCUACAUCACCCACAAACAAUAGUGCAUAAGUUAGGAAGAGGCUAGGUUUGGCUGCAGUAAUGAACAACAAGGGUUCAUUUCUCUCAAACCCUGCAUGUCCAUUACAGGUUAGCUGCACCUCUACUCCACGUGGUCCUCCCUUCAGGUCCCAGGCUGAUGGAGUAGCCUCUGUGUGUUUGGGAUGUUGUCAGUCAUAAUGGUGGACACAAAAGAGAUUAUGACAAACCGUGUAUUGUCUCCUACAAUUUCUGCUCACAGAAGUGGACAACAUCACUUCUUUCCACAUUUCAUUGACCAGAGCAAGUCAUGUGACCAAGCCUGAUUCAAAAUAGGCUGGAGCAAGGAGGAGCAGCAAACAUAACAUUCUCAGUUUACAGCUGAGGAAACUAAGCUUCAAGUUGCCCAAGUUUAUAGAAUGAGUCAAUGGCAGAGGUUGAACUCAGAUGACAAAAUUGGGGUCUGGACAUGUGCAAGGACUUUUCCGAAGUCAGCUGGAAAGGAGCUGCUUAGCUGAGAGGUUCUGGCUCCAAAGUCUCCUGUGAAGUUGCAGUCAAGAUGUCUGCUGGGACCCCAGUCAUUUGAAGCCCUGUCUGGGGCAGGAGAAUCUAGGUCCAAAAUGGCCGUUGCAGGAGUCCUUAUCCACACCAUGUGGGGCCUCUUCAUAGAUGUUCGAGUGUCCUCAUGGCAUGGCCACUGGCUUUCCCCAAAGUAAGCAGUCCAAAAGAGGACAAUCAACAAAACUGAAAAAGCCCAGCCUUGUAGCAUUUGCCAGUUACUGUGUAAAUGUCCCCACUAUGGUGGAUUUCAGGUUACCACUAUGAUAUCACAGAAUGCAGAAUUGGAAGGAGAUUCACAGCAGCACCCCAUUAUACUAUAUUUUCACCAUACAGAUGCAGUCGAUGUAAAUUACCUGAGGAGCAUAAAUAAUAAUAAAAUGAAGUUAAAUAAUUCGGAAA
rnacentral:lncRNA from 1 species